UUACUGGGCGCGAGUAUUUUGAUCACUCUCACUGUACUGUCAUUUUAGAUUAGUCACUCUUUUUCCUCAUCGGUCACUAUUUUCGGUAUUUUCGGUUAUCAUUUCGGUGGCUGCAUUCCGUAUCGGUGACGUUCGACGUUUGAUAGUUCAUCAAAUAGUAGCGCUGUUAUUUGGUCAAUUUGGUCACCUGUCAGCUGCGCUACUGUUUUAGCAGCGCGUUUAGUAGCGACCGGUAAAGUGUCAAGUAAUGAUACUGCGCUGACAAACGGUUUAUAUUCACCACCGAAAUGAAGCUUAUGAUAAAUAAAAUACUGCUGCUUGCUGGUCACUGAUUGAAGAUCGUUCAGUGGCUACCAUUGGCCAAUCUCACCAACGGGAUAUAAUAAGAACUGAUGCAGGUUUAUAUCUAUAUGUAUUGUCUAUUCGGAACAAAGUUAGUACGCUUUUUAAACCGAUGUUGGAUUUUUCUCCAGAUUCAGGCAACCCACUUAACUUUGAAAGUAGUGCGCUGGAUUCGUCUAAAGAUAUGCUAAACAACCGGA